GGGAGACACACGGCGGGUGCUAACGUCCGUCGUGAAGAGGGAAACAACCCAGACCGCCAGCUAAGGUCCCAAAGUCAUGGUUAAGUGGGAAACGAUGUGGGAAGGCACAGACAGCCAGGAUGUUGGCUUAGAAGCAGCCAUCAUUUAAAGAAAGCGUAAUAGCUCACUGGUCGAGUCGGCCUGCGCGGAAGAUGUAACGGGGCUAAACCAUGCACCGAAGCUGCGGCAGCGACACUAUGUGUUGUUGGGUAGGGGAGCGUUCUGUAAGCCGUUGAAGGUGGCCUGUGAGGGUUGCUGGAGGUAUCAGAAGUGCGAAUGCUGACAUAAGUAACGAUAAAGCGGGUGAAAAGCCCGCUCGCCGGAAGACCAAGGGUUCCUGUCCAACGUUAAUCGGGGCAGGGUGAGUCGACCCCUAAGGCGAGGCCGAAAGGCGUAGUCGAUGGGAAACAGGUUAAUAUUCCUGUACUUGGUGUUACUGCGAAGGGGGGACGGAGAAGGCUAUGUUGGCCGGGCGACGGUUGUCCCGGUUUAAGCAUGUAGGCGGAGGUUCCAGGUAAAUCCGGUACCUUAUUAACGCUGAGGUGUGAUGACGAGGCACUACGGUGCUGAAGUAACAAAUGCCCUGCUUCCAGGAAAAGCCUCUAAGCAUCAGGUAACACGAAAUCGUACCCCAAACCGACACAGGUGGUCAGGUAGAGAAUACCAAGGCGCUUGAGAGAACUCGGGUGAAGGAACUAGGCAAAAUGGUGCCGUAACUUCGGGAGAAGGCACGCUGAUAUGUAGGUGAAGCCCCUGCGGGUGGAGCUGAAAUCAGUCGAAGAUACCAGCUGGCUGCAACUGUUUAUUAAAAACACAGCACUGUGCAAACACGAAAGUGGACGUAUACGGUGUGACGCCUGCCCGGUGCCGGAAGGUUAAUUGAUGGGGUUAGCGGUAACGCGAAGCUCUUGAUCGAAGCCCCGGUAAACGGCGGCCGUAACUAUAACGGUCCUAAGGUAGCGAAAUUCCUUGUCGGGUAAGUUCCGACCUGCACGAAUGGCGUAAUGAUGGCCAGGCUGUCUCCACCCGAGACUCAGUGAAAUUGAACUCGCUGUGAAGAUGCAGUGUACCCGCGGCAAGACGGAAAGACCCCGUGAACCUUUACUAUAGCUUGACACUGAACACUGGUCCUUGAUGUGUAGGAUAGGUGGGAGGCUUUGAAGCGUGGACGCCAGUCUGCGUGGAGCCGUCCUUGAAAUACCACCCUUUAAUGGCUGGUGUUCUAACGUAGACCCGUGAUCCGGGUUGCGGACAGUGUCUGGUGGGUAGUUUGACUGGGGCGGUCUCCUCCCAAAGAGUAACGGAGGAGCACGAAGGUUAGCUAAUCCUGGUCGGACAUCAGGAGGUUAGUGCAAUGGCAUAAGCUAGCUUGACUGCGAGAGUGACGGCUCGAGCAGGUGCGAAAGCAGGUCAUAGUGAUCCGGUGGUUCUGAAUGGAAGGGCCAUCGCUCAACGGAUAAAAGGUACUCCGGGGAUAACAGGCUGAUA
rnacentral:rRNA from 1 species